AUGCCUGCAUUGCACAGACUGAGAUGAGCCACUGGGAAAGCCAUGUGUAAGCCAAGAAGUAUUUAAAAUAAUUUCAGAUGGGAUGAGAAAUCCUUUGGUAGUGGUUUCAGAACUAGAAUUUGGAAGCUUCAUUUUAAGCCAGCCCCUUCUGAAUCCUCUGUCUGAAGCAGAAGACACAUUCUUGAGGUAGCAGCAAUCCUACUGAUAAGAACUAAGACCAGAGAUAUGCAGUGCUGUCACUAUGGAGUGUCAGAGUCACUUGGAAACUUCAUGUUAAUUACAACUUGCUGGAGUGGACUUACCAUUCGGGAAUUCAGGACUCCUGGUCCAGACAAGCCCACUGGGAGAUACAUGCAGAGGCCUCCUAGAAACAGACACUACCAACACCAGAUGUCCUACUGAAAACGGGAGAUAAAAGACUUAGGCUCCUCUUCAUAUACAAAUUAUUAUACAUCAAUUUAAAUACAGUGAAUCAAUGGAAGAAGAGCAACUGUAGCAGCUGUUUCAAAAUGACUGAGUGAUCACUGCACAAGCCUCAACUGAAGAAGAUGGUGAAAGUGGUACGUGUCACAGAAACGCAAAGGUGAAGUCCACUCACCUUAUUACUUAAGGGUAAGUCUAGAAAAUAAUUUCCCACCUAUCUGUAGAUGCACUCUGUGGGUAUUUUUGUAGCCUCAAUUCCUGUUAUCUUUGUGAAGCUUGCUGUUGAGAAUUUCAGUUUAUGACUGAGUAUUCAUUCAAAUGUCAUUGCAUCUACUAUAUUAAGAUAUGUAAUUUAAAGGAUGACGUGCACUCAUAGGCAGCAAACUGUCUUUCUCCCUGGAAUUUCCUUAUAACUUUCUGCUUUUAGUUUAUUCUGUUAGCCUGGUUGGUGAACUCAAGAAUAUGGAAAUACACAUGUACAAUUCAUUUAACAAUAAAUAUUUCAAGAGUCAGGAAACCUAGAGAAGGAGCAAUAUGAUAGACAUAUCAAUUAUUUUAUGAAACUUGGGACAUUCAAGUAAUUUUUUCAGAGAACCAUAAAUAAUACAGUUUAAAACAACAGAACUAUUUUCCAUCACAGAAGUGAAAAGACUUCAUGUUCAGAGCAAGAGAAAAAAUGGCUUAUUCUGCUCUUCUGUAUCCCAUUACAUAGCAACAUAUUGUUCCCACUAUGUUGAAGAGAAGACAAAAUAUUCAUGUUUUACUUCUCUUUGGGGCAAAUACUCUAGGAGAAAAAAAUGUAUAUUUUUUUCCAUGAUGUUUUAAUAUAUUCUCUUUUUUUUUGUAUCACCAGAAGUCCAUGGAGCUUCAUGCAAAUUUUCCAAGUGAAUAAAUUUUAAUUCUAUACUGAAUAAUAACAGUUUUUCUAUGUAAUAUUUUGCCCAUUUAUGAACAGGAUUAACUCCCAUGUCUUGCUAACUUCCCUGCUAUACUAAAGUAAGGAGUUUGAGUUAUAGUUUCUGGAAGAAAAUGGAAUCAUAAAAUGGUAGCAGAACAUUAUAAG
ensembl:lncRNA